CCAGCAUCCAGAUACUUGGCAUCAUGAGCCAAAAUUUUGGACAGCUAAACCAAGGGGAUGUGAAUGGGAUGUGAAUGGAGCCCACAAACAAGAGUUUCUAAACAAAACCGGAGAGAAGCUGGAAAUGGAGAUGCUGGAAUAACUUCCGUUAAUGACCAGAAGCGUAAUCCCCCAAACACCUACUGGACCUGCUGGCCUAGAUUACUGGACAAACUCCUUUUUAAUGAAGAGUCAUGCUUGUUACGUAAAAGAAACAGCAACAACUUCACAUUCCUUUGCAAAUACAGCCCCAGGCUGUGCUCUGACCAGAAAAAGAGAUAAAUUUGUCAUGCUCCACUGUCCUGAGAUCCUGAUGUGAAGGUGUUGGCACAGAAAUGCUUCCCAAGAAAUGGAAGGAAAAUCUCCUCAACUUUAGACACUCUGGCAAGAAAGGACCAAAGCAUUUUAGUAUCUGAUGAGAACUUCCCUACAUGGUGCAGACACAGGACUAAGCUUCCCCUGUCCUGCAUCUCCUCAGUCCAUCCACUUAGCUCAGAG
rnacentral:lncRNA from 1 species